UUGUUGGGGUUUUGUUUCUGGGUUCUGGUUAGGCUAGUCACUAACUUUCCACCAGAGAGCGCCAGAGACUGUUUUUCCCGGCGGAGGCGUGAUCGCCAGCACACCUGUUCAACAUCUCCUCAUUAUGUCUGGAGUUCAAGAGGAGCUGACUGACGGGGCUUCGACGCCUGAGUGUUUGCCAGCAAUGGUGUCUUCCUUGAGACGCUGAGUUCCUUUGUGAAAGGAACUGGUUCUUCCGGGUUUUUCUGGAACCAAUUCCCUCGUGACGCCGUGGAGGAAUAUCCGCUGGUUGCCCAAGCCCGUGUCUUCCCUUUGAGACGCCGAACGUCAGUCAGAACUCUCCUCAGUCUCCAGCCCGCCUGAGCCCAUCGGUCCGCCUCUCCCCGCCGCCACUGUUGCUCCUGGAUCCAACCAAUCCCGAAUAGCUCGGACCCGUUCAGAAGACCUCUUGGACUGAAUCCCCUCGAUCCACACAGUUAGCCCUCCCGGACUUCCACCAUCAACUUCACAAUUUGCCGCAUUCCCCGAAAGCUGCAGUUCCUGGAGCAAUAACCCUCAGCAGAUUUCCUGAACAUUCAAUAAACCAUUUUUACUGAUUAUCUGUUUCCCUGUGGUGUUCUGCAUGUGGGCAAGAAAAGUAGACCCAAACAUGACAGAACACUCAGGCCAAAAUCCUAGUCCAGCAGACACCAUUAGGAAAACUCUUGCAGAGCAACAUUCACUGUUACAAUCCCAUGAAUCAGCCCUCCAGGAACUUAAUACCCGUCAGAUCGAGACCAAUCGACGGUUGAAUGAAUCUAUCAAAGACGAAUUAGCCACGCUCGAUGAACCAGCGACCCUAGAAGAGCUAAUAAGUCUUACAAUUCGCUUAGAUUCAAGAAUACGAUCCAGAACUAAAGAGAGAGGUCGUAGAGAGACUCCCGUAAGAGUUUCCGCCGUUCCCUUACCUCUCAGAGCCGAUCCAGUUUCUCCCGGCUCCUCAGAACCGGAGCCUAUGCAAAUCGGCCGAACUCGCCUAACCCCGCAGGAGCGACACAAAAGAAUGACCUCCCGUCUAUGCCUUUACUGCGGGCUUCCCGGUCAUUUUAUCGCUCACUGUCCGGAGCGGUUAAACCCUCCGGUCCGCCAGUAGGGGCGAGGAGGGUGGCGGACCAUCAACAGAAUAAUUCCUCCCCUCGCCUGCUACUUCCAGCUACCCUGAUCCAUAAUGACAAAUCUCUCCCGUUGGCUGUUUUAGUUGAUUCUGGCUGUGAGCAGGACCUAAUAGACACCACUUUAGUCCAGCAGUUGGCAAUCGAAACU